rnacentral:piRNA from 1 species
AAAAAGGAAGAAUAUAUGGCAAGGUAG